CCACCCAAAACUGAGCUAGCGUAGGUACAUCACAACAGCUUUCCCCCAACACUGAGAUACUGUUGGUACAACACCACAGCAACCACCCAGAACUGAGAUACUGUAGAUACAACACCACAGCAACCACCGACACUGAGAUACUUUAGGUCCAACACCAUAGCAUCCACCACACAACACUGAGAUACUGUAGGUACAACACACCAGCAUCCCCCAACACUGAGAUACUGUAGGUACAACACCACAGCAACCACCCAGAACUGAGAUACUGUAGAAACAACAAAACAGCAACCACCAAGCACUGAGAUACUGUAGGUACAACACCAUACCAACCACCCAAGCACUGAGAUACUGUAGGUACAACACCGUAGCAACCACCCAGCACUGAGAUACUGUAGGUACAACACCAUACCAACCACCCAACACUGAGAUACUGUAGGUACAACACCACAGCAUCCACCAAGCACUGAGAUACUGUAGGUACAUUGCAACAGCAUUCACCCAACACUGAGAUACUGUUGGUACAACACCACCACAGCAUCCCCCAACACUGAGAUACUGUAGGUACAACACCACAGCAAUCACCCAAUACUGAGAUACUGUAGGUACAACAUCACAGCAUCCACCCAACACUGAGAUAGUGUAGGUACAACAUCACAGCAACCACCCAGAACUGAGAUACUGUAGAUACAACAAAACAGCAACCACCAAGCACUGAGCUACUGUAGGUACAACACCAUACCAACCACCCAAGCACUGAGAUACUGUAGGUACAACACCGUAGCAACCACCCAGCACUGAGAUACUGUAGGUACAACACCAUACCAACCACCCAAGCACUGACAUACUGUAGGUACAACACCGUAGCAACCACCCAGCACUGAGAUACUGUAGGUACAACACCAUACCAACCACCCAACACUGAGAUACUGUAGGUACAACACCACAGCAUCCACCAAGCACUGAGAUACUGUAGGUACAACACCAUAUCAACCACCCAACACUGAGAUACUGUAGGUACAACACCACAGCAUCCACCAAGCACUGAGAUACUGUAGGUACAACACCACAGCAACCACCAAGCACUGAGAUACUGUAGGUACAACACCACAGCAUCCACCAAGCACUGAGAUACUGUAGGUACAACACCGUAGCAACCACCCAGCACUGAGAUACUGUAGGUACAACACCAUACCAACCACCCAAGCACUGAGAUACUGUAGGUACAACACCGUAGCAACCACCCAGCACUGAGAUACUGUAGGUACAACACCAUACCAACCACCCAACACUGAGAUACUGUAGGUACAACACCACAGCAUCCACCAAGCACUGAGAUACUGUAGGUACAUUGCAACAGCAUUCACCCAACACUGAGAUACUGUUGGUACAACACCACCACAGCAUCCCCCAACACUGAGAUACUGUAGGUACAACAUCACAGCAUCCACCCAACACUGAGAUACUGUAGGUACAACAUCACAGCAUCCACCCAACACUGAGA